rnacentral:rRNA from 1 species
AUUGAACGCUGGCGGCAUGCCUUACACAUGCAAGUCGAACGGUAACAGGUCUUCGGAUGCUGACGAGUGGCGAACGGGUGAGUAAUACAUCGGAACGUGCCUAGUAGUGGGGGAUAACUACUCGAAAGAGUGGCUAAUACCGCAUGAGAUCUAAGGAUGAAAGCAGGGGAUCGCAAGACCUUGUGCUACUAGAGCGGCCGAUGGCAGAUUAGGUAGUUGGUGGGAUAAAAGCUUACCAAGCCGACGAUCUGUAGCUGGACUGAGAGGACGAUCAGCCACACUGGGACUGAGACACGGCCCAGGCUCCUACGGGAGGCAGCAGUGGGGAAUUUUGGACAAUGGGCGAAAGCCUGAUCCAGCAAUGCCGCGUGCAGGAUGAAGGCCUUCGGGUUGUAAACUGCUUUUGUACGGAACGAAAAGCCCCGGGUUAAUACCCUGGGGUCAUGACGGUACCGUAAGAAUAAGCACCGGCUAACUACGUGCCAGCCGCCGCGGUAA